rnacentral:rRNA from 1 species
CCUCUCAUUAAAUAGUUUUAAGUGGAUGCUUAGGUUCAACACACAAUAUGGACGUGUAUACAUACGAAAAGUCGCUUGAAGAGAAAACUCAAAGAUAAGUGAAUUUCCAUUGUGGGAAACCACGUAAAAAAAAAAACGAAGGGAACUGAAACAUCUAAGUACCUUUAGGAAAAGAAAUCAACCGAGAUUCCGUAAGUAUUGGCGAAAGAAAGCGGAGGAGACAAAUCAACGAAUAAAACAACCAGAACAAGGUGGAAUCCUUGACCAAAGAUGGUGAAAGUCCAGUAUUUUUGUAUAUCGUUGAUAGUAAGUAAAACAAUUCAUCUUGUUUGAACUUGAGGAGGCCCACCUUCUUUGUCUAAAUAUGUGUUGAGACCGAUAGUGAACAAGUACCGUGAGGGAAAAGUGAAAAGAACCCUAUACAAGGGAGUGCAACAGAUCCUGAAACUUAAAACAUCCAAUCAGUUAAAGCAUCUGCACGAUGUUUUAGCGUACCUUUUGCAUAAUGGGUCAGUGAGUAAAUGAAUUCAGCUUGCUUAAGCGACAACGUGGAGGCGAAGCAAACGCGAGUACAAAGAUGUGCGCCCAGUUGGAUUCAUUUGACCCGAAACUAAGUGAUCUACCUAUGAGCAGGUUGAAGAAAGCGUAAUUUCUUUUGGAGGACCGAACCGACGUCUGUAGCAAUAGGCGCGGAUGACUUGUUGGUAGGGGUGAAAGGCCAAUCAAACUUAGAGAUAGCUGGUUCUUCGCGAAAUUUAUUGAGGUAAAGCGUUUGAUUUUGAUCAAAAGGGGUAGAGCACUCAUGAAGCUAUGGGGGUCCAAAGCCUUACUGAUCUUCCUGAAACUCCGAAUACUUUAUGAUCGUAAAUCAAACAGACAGACUUAAAGUGCUAAGGUUUUAAGUCAAAAGGGAAACAGCCCAGACUAUUUGCUAAGGUCCUUAAACAAUAAGUAAGUGGUAAAAGAAGUUUUUAUCCAAUGACAACUAGGAAAUUGGCUUGGAAGCAGCCAUUUUAUAAUGAAAGCGUAAUAGCUCACUAGUCAAGGAUAGAAGCGCUGACAAUGUAUCGGGGCUCAACUUAUUUACCGAAGCAAUAGAGAAAAGGUAGCGAAGCGUUUUGUAAACCGAUGAAGGUAUUUUGUGAAAAAUAUUGAAGGAUUCAAAAGUGAGUAUACUGACAUGAGUAACGUAAAAAUCAUGUGAAAAUCAUGAUCGCCGUAAGUUCAAGGGUUUCUGCGAUCUGGAAGUCAACGCAGAGUGAUUCGGCUUCUAAAUUUACUGUGAUUACAGUUAAAUGAUGAAUAUAUGGGAACUGACAAAUGGGGUACGUAUUUUUAUCAAACCGGAUAGAUAAAAAUACGUACCCCAUUUCAGGAAAAGGUCCUAUUUACUCGAAACCGUACCCAAAACCAACACUGGUGAACAAGUCGAAUAGACUCAGGCGUUGAGAUAACCAUGCUGAAGGAACUCGGCAAAAUAUUCCCGUACCUUAGGAAGAAGGGAAACCAAUAUUUAUUGGUGACACAAAAUUGAGGGUGACGACUUUUUACUAAAAAAUUAGGACUCUGCAAAAUGGUAACAUGAAGUAUAGGGUCUGACGUCUGCCCGGUGCUAGAAGCUUAAGAGGAGACUUGGAAGAGUUGAAUUGAAGGCCUAGUAAACGGCGGUUGUAACUAUAACAAUCAUAAAGUAGCGAAAUUCCUUGCCAGCUAAUUCCUGGCCUGCAUGAAAGACGUAACGAUUGCCCUACUGUCUCCAGCAUGGACUCAGUGAAAUUGAAUUUUCCGUGAAGAUGCGGAAAUCGUGCCCCAAGACGAGAAGACCCUAUGCAUCUUUACUAUACAUGUACAUUGAACAAAGCCUUCGAGUAUGUAGGAAAGGUGGGAGUGCACACACCCUUGAAAUACCACCUUCUAGAUGGCUUCAUUCUUAUUGAACACACAAAAAAGUGUACAUCGGGUAGUUUGACUGGGGCGGUCGCCUCCUAAAAAGUAACGGAGGCGUGCGAAGGUAAACUCAAUGGAAGUUGGAAACUUUCUGAAGAAUAUAAUGGUAUAAGUUUGCCUGACUGCAAGACCCAACAAGUCGAGCAGAGACGAAAGUCGGUCAUAGUGAUCCAAAAGUACCGGGUGGAAGGGCUUUUGCUUAACGAAUCAAAGAUACGCUAGGGAUAACAGGCUAAUAAUUCCCAAGAGUCCUUAUCGACGGAAUUGUUUGGCACCUCGAUGUUGACUGAUCAUAUCCUGGGGCUGAAGAAGGUCCCAAGGGUUCGGCUGUUCGCCGAUAAAAAUGGUACCUGAGUUGAGUUUAGAACGUCGUGAGACAGUUUGGAUUCUACCUGGGGUGCGCGUAAGAAUUGAGAAAAUUACUUCUUUGUACGAGAGGACCGGAAGUAUUUAACCUCUGGUGGACUGGUUGUUCGGCCACGAGCAUUGCCAGGGAGCUAAGUUAAGAUAGGAGAACCGUUGAAAGCAUAUCAAACGGGAAACUUUUUUCAAGACAAAUUCUUUUUUUUUCGUGAAAGACUCUCACGUUGAUAGGCGAAGUGUGUCCAAUUUGUAAAAAUUGCAGCUUCUUCGUACUAACUCUUUCCAAAGGUUUAGACCG